rnacentral:tRNA from 5 species
UAGAUUGAAGCCAGUUGUUUAGGGUAUUUAGCUGUUAACUAAAUUUUCAUGGGGUAGAAACCCAUCAAUCUAG